rnacentral:tRNA from 1 species
CGCUUCUCCAGCGUCGCCACCAGGUCGGCCAGCGCGGCCGGCUCGAUGGGGAAGGCGCUGUAGACGAUGGCGUCGGAAACGCCCGAACUCG